UACGAACUGUGCGAACGUUAUUCGGAAUCACUGGGCUUACAGGGUGCGUAGGCGGCUCAACAAGUCAGGUGUGAAAGCCCCCGGCUCAACCGGGGAACUGCGCUUGAAACUGUUAGGCUCGAGUCAGCUAGAGGUACACGGAACUUCCAGUGGAGCGGUGAAAUGUGUUGAUAUUGGAAGGAGCACCGGAGGCGAAAGCGGUGUACUGGGGCUGGUCUGACGCUGAGGCACGAAAGCCAGGGGAGCGAACGGG
rnacentral:rRNA from 1 species